UUUAUCAUCAAUUGGUAACAUUUUAUUUCUUUACUGGGUUAAACAGAGAGCAGAAGGUGUCUGCUCAAAGUACAACAGAACAAAAAGCAUUACAGGUACAGAUAAGGACUAUUGAAACACAGACAGUAUUAGUAUUAUAUUCUUUUUUUUUUAAAAUACAACUCAAUUAUAGCAUCUUUUUUAAACCAUCUCAGAAAAUUAAAAGAGGAUCUAGUGCAAAAAGGUUCUAGAACAUUAAGCACAGUGUAUAAAAUGACAUAAGAAGGAGGUCCUCACACGAGGAAACGCCAACCUCAUCCGUAUGGCAAAAUUUGAAAUGAGAAGAAAACAAAUAAGUGUGAAAUUGGGAAAUACAAUUCAGGACUGACAAAGAUAAAAGGGGGAGGGGGACCAAAAUUAGAAAGAACGUUUUAACCCCUUCUUGGUUGGGGAAGCUGCACUGCAUUGAUUUGCAAUGUAUCUCAAGCCUGAGUCCAUCAAGAAAAGGGCUAAAGGCUAAGUUCCACAUUGCGUUCUCAUUUUUUUAUGUUAUUUUAAAAUUUCUCACUUUGUGAAAAUAUUUUUUUUCUUCUCCCAAGUCUGACUUUAAUAGACACCUAAAGUCCUCACAACAUCUUGAGAAGGGUUCAGGCACAUACAGCCUUAAAAGCAGCGCACAACGUGCAUAAUACCACGCCUGGAUUUAUUGACUGCACACUUCAAAAUCUGUUGCCUCCCCAGCAAAAUCAUAAAUUACCUCCUUAAAGAUCUGUUCUCAAGGGGAACGAGAUGUUCCCUUGAAUUUGCUCAUUUUGCAUUGUGCAAUGUCACCCAAAAUUUCUCUACACCCUUGUAGGUUUUCUUGAACUCUGAUCAUAACCCUUAAUUCCUUUUGCUUCUAAAGGGAACAGCAGUGCACCGUGCAAAUAGAAGCAAAAGGGUUAACAGUACCUAUAUUUAUAAAAUACAGAGAAGAAUGAUUGAACCCUGUUUCAAAAUCAUAGGUGGUUGGAACAUUGCAUGUCUUGUUUCAGUUUAUUGUUGUUUGGAGGUGACAGUGUUCUUGUGUUAAAAUUGUUGAAGUUCUACAAUAUUCUAAUGUCUGUAUUAAGUGUGCAGUCAUGCUCAGUAUUGCUUCAUUUAACCUCUUAGGGGACAAAGGGGGUUCCCCCAGGGUAAUGCACUUGAAUUGAAAUGUACCUUCAAACCAUAACCUGACACGGCUGGGGAGAAAGUUAAACAUUUGCAAAGCCACAUUUACACCAAAAUGACUUUGGUUUUAUUUAUAUAUCCUUUGUGCACACUGUUGGCUCCAGAGGCCUUUUUUUUGCAUACAUAAAAAUAUAUACAUUGUAUUUUCUCUGACAAUACAAGAUGCAUCAUUCCUGUUACUAAAUUGCUUUCCUAAGUAACAGAGCACUUUUGAUAAUGACACUUCCUAAUCAUGAAGGAAAGCAGGUUCGAGAAACGGUAGCAUCAUAUGAUAAUGGCACACAUUGGCCUCUUAUAAGCACUUGUAAGUUCAACAUCACAGCAAAGUGUUCUUAUGUCUACAAUGGUCUCUCAGAAAUUGCAAGUCCUAAUAGUCACGAGUUAUUAGUUGUAGACACGCAAAAAGUAGGUAUUUCCAGAAUUCAUCCCAAAACUCACUAAUUGUGGCCAUAAGCAAAUAAUUUAUAUCUUCUCAACAUCUGCUAGAAAUAAUUCAUUGUAAAUUUAUUUUGUCUGCUUCUUUCUACAUACAAGCACAUAAACAUUACGAAUGAGCAGAGGCCCCGAAAGAGGACAUCUUUUCAUCUCAACAGAAAAAAAAUAAGAAAUGCUUCACUAGGUUUCCGAGUCUCCAUGUUCUUCGUGGAAUCCAUAUAAUAUUUUAUAAAUUAAUAUACAACAAAGAGGAAUAUAUUAUCUCUUUACUGUGUGGGAAGAUUAAAAAUGGAUAGAAGUGAAGCUAACAUAUGCUGUUUUGCUCAAAUUUAUAGGUUUAUUACAAAAGCAAUUUUAAACCUUUUCCCUCGCUGUGAAUAAUAGAUCAAACAUGCAGAAAAUAUUUAGCUUUUUCUCAUUUAUAAACACUUGUCCAAUAGGUUUCUAAUUAAGAAAUCCAGCAAACAUUUGUUUAUUUGAAAGGGACCUGUUAUAUUCAAAUAGACUUCUUCUAGUCGAGUAGUUCCCAUCCCAGCACAGUCCUUUAAGUGUCUGAAUCCUGGCCUUUUGGUGUGAUCUGAAGAAUGGGUUAGGAACCACUCUUCCAGCCCAUACGAAACCAGCAGGAAGACCAGUUGAAUAAUAUGUCUCAGUUGCGCCAGAAAAUCCCCCAGACAUAAUUCAGAUCUUCACAGGUCAGUUUAAAUUAGAUUGUGGGGUGGUUGAGACUUAAUGAACAGUAAAGCUACUUGAUAAACUAACUCUAAAUAUGUUAAAGGCAGUACUGGCUUCUGUGGGUUAACUAACCAAUGUUUUCAAAACGAACGCGACUUCAUAUGACUGUGGGAUGGUUGACCUCUAUUUUAAAGCUAGCUAGUUUCACGGCUUACAUCAGAAUAAACAAACAUACACACAUUUUACAGGUUUUCAUGACUCCUGUAACUCUCAAGUUUGAUUUAAGAAUUUUCAUACAGUCUACCGUGAGAAUAUAGUAAAAUUGUUACAAUUUAAAGCAGGAGUUUAAUAAAUCUUCCAAAAUAACCCUUACCUCGACUGUUACAGAUUUGUUUUUCUAUAAAAUGUAGAUUUAGAAUAAUGUUAACAUUUAAAAUGUGUUUCUGAAAUUUUUUUAUUAUUUAUCCUGCACAGGGAAGGAUGACUAGGGCUAUUGCAAGUGAGUAGGCAUCAUAUGAAUACCAUCAACCCAUACGUUUAAGUUUUAAGUAGACAUUUUUAUAUAAUUUAAAUCUCCUGCAGACAAACUAGCAUCCAUAUGCGCUGUUCGGUCCGCCCCCUAUUCGUCAUCUUUGAGUAAACUUUGACCCUGUACCUCACAGUCAGCAGACAC